CAUUAUUACAAUUCAAUCACAUAUUUAUGUCAAUUUGUCCGUGACCAGAAACAAAUUCUUAUUUUGAAGCUUGUCAAAUUUCACAAACAGAUCAGGCAAGAUGCUAAAUAGCUCCGUCUCUAGUCCAAUGUUUGUGGGAGAAAAACCAACUUCCUCAGGUGUAAGAUCAAAAGAUUGGCUGAAUUCUAAGAAACACCAGUAAACUUACUUGGUAUAGGACCUUUCAAGGUAAUAAAGAGUCAAAGCACAUGAUAAAUCUGACUUUUCAGAGGCUCAUCCAUACUUCCUUGAAGAUGCCUCAUGCUUGUGCCUCUUUUGGUAUCAGGAAGCCUUAAUGGAUUCAACAAACCCACUACUAAGUAAUCUCUCCACAUACUUCCCCAAAAUGUCCACCUCCAAAUUGACCUUCUGCCCAACUUUCUUCAAAGGAAUCACCACCUUCUGUUGUGUAUAAGCUACCAGCAUGAAAUUGAAGCAUCCCUCGUCAUCAAACACAUCCACCACCGUCAAACUAGUCCCAUCCACCGCAAUAAACCCCUUCGGCACCACGUAUUUCAACAACCCUUUAUCUACUUUCACCUUCACCCACAACGAAUCCCCUUCGGGCUCUUUCUCCACUAUCUCACCCGUACCAUCCACGUGGCCCUGCACGAAAUGCCCACCCAUACGGCUCGUUGGCUGUACGGCCCUCUCCAAGUUGACCAGCGACCCGGGCUCCAGCUCUAUAAGAGACGUUUUCCUCAGUGUUUCCGGGGAUAACCCAACAGUGAACUCUUCAUUAGUAAAACUGGUUACUGUUAAGCAGGUCCCAUUAACAGCAAUGCUGUCUCCUAGAUUCACUCCUUCGAGGACGGUUUUUGCCCGUAUAUUAAGAUCGAAUCCGCCGUCCUGGAUGGUACCAAGGUGUUUGAUUUCGCCCAUUUCUUCGAUGAUGCCGGUGAAUAGGCAUCGGAUGGCAGGUGUUGAAUAACGAGGUUUGAGUACAGGGUUUAGAGUGGUUUUUGCGGUGAAGAGAGACCGAGCGUAGGAUUUGGACGGUGGAGCGAGCUUGAAAUGAGGUUUCGCGGAGCGGAGAUUGGUGAUUCUUCUUGUUGCUGUUAUUGGGGUAAUUGAGGGGGAGACUUUUGACGUUGUGGCGAGAGAAGCGUGAGAAAAGGAGUGCGACAUUUUCCUUUUUCAGUUUGGUUAAUAAGAAAUUUUGAAGUUUUUGACGUUUUAAA
rnacentral:misc_RNA from 1 species